GAUGAACGCUAGCGGCAGGCUUAAUACAUGCAAGUCGUGGGGGCAGCAGGGGUAGCAAUACCCGCUGGCGACCGGCAAACGGGUGCGGAACACGUACGCAACCUUCCUUUAACUGGAGAAUAGCCCCUCGAAAGAGGGAUUAAUACUCCGUAACAUAUUGAUAAGGCAUCUUAUUACUAUUAUAGCUCCGGCGGUUAAAGAUGGGCGUGCGCCUGAUUAGAUAGUUGGCAGGGUAACGGCCUACCAAGUCUGCGAUCAGUAACUGGUGUGAGAGCACGACCAGUCACACGGGCACUGAGACACGGGCCCGACUCCUACGGGAGGCAGCAGUAAGGAAUAUUGGUCAAUGGACGCAAGUCUGAACCAGCCAUGCCGCGUGGAGGAUUAAGGCCCUCUGGGUUGUAAACUCCUUUUAUCUGGGAAGAAUGCUAUUUUUCUAAAGUGCUUGACGGUACC
rnacentral:rRNA from 1 species